AUGAACGCUGGCGGCGUGCCUAAUACAUGCAAGUCGAGCGAACAGACGAGGAGCUUGCUCCUCUGACGUUAGCGGCGGACGGGUGAGUAACCCGUGGAUAACCUACCUAUAAGACUGGGAUAACUUCGGGAAACCGGAGCUAAUACCGGAUAAUAUAUUGAACCGCAUGGUUCAAUAGUGAAAGACGGUUUUGCUGUCACUUAUAGAUGGAUCCGCGCCGCAUUAGCUAGUUGGUAAGGUAACGGCUUACCAAGGCAACGAUGCGUAGCCGACCUGAGAGGAUGAUCGGCCACACUGGAACUGAGACACGGUCCAGACUCCUACGGGAGGCAGCAGUAGGGAAUCUUCCGCAAUGGGCGAAAGCCUGACGGAGCAACGCCGCGUGAGUGAUGAAGGUCUUCGGAUCGUAAAACUCUGUUAUUAGGGAAGAACAAAUGUGUAAGUAACUAUGCACGUCUUGACGGUACCUAAUCAGAAAGCCACGGCUAACUACGUG
rnacentral:rRNA from 1 species